rnacentral:rRNA from 1 species
ACUCCUACGGGAGGCAGCAGUGGGGAAUAUUGGACAAUGGGCGCAAGCCUGAUCCAGCCAUGCCGCGUGAGUGAUGAAGGCCCUAGGGUUGUAAAGCUCUUUCACCGGUGAAGAUAAUGACGGUAACCGGAGAAGAAGCCCCGGCUAACUUCGUGCCAGCAGCCGCGGUAAUACGAAGGGGGCUAGCGUUGUUCGGAUUUACUGGGCGUAAAGCGCACGUAGGCGGACUAUUAAGUCAGGGGUGAAAUCCCGGGGCUCAACCCCGGAACUGCCUUUGAUACUGGUAGUCUUGAGUUCGAGAGAGGUGAGUGGAAUUCCGAGUGUAGAGGUGAAAUUCGUAGAUAUUCGGAGGAACACCAGUGGCGAAGGCGGCUCACUGGCUCGAUACUGACGCUGAGGUGCGAAAGCGUGGGGAGCAAACAGGAUUAGAAACCCGAGUAGUCC